rnacentral:rRNA from 1 species
AAGGGCGCACGGUGGAUGCCUUGGCACUAGAAGCCGACGAAGGACGUUACUAACGACGAUAUGCUUUGGGUAGCUGUAAGUAAGCGUUGAUCCAGAGAUUUCCGAAUGGGGGAACCCAGCACGAGUUAUGUCGUGUUAUCGACAAGUGAAUUCAUAGCUUGUCAGAAGGCAGACCCGGAGAACUGAAACAUCUUAGUACCCGGAGGAAGAGAAAGAAAAAUCGAUUCCCUGAGUAGCGGCGAGCGAAACGGGAAGAGCCCAAACCAAUAAGCUUGCUUAUUGGGGUUGUAGGACACUCUAUACGGAGUUACAAAGGAAUAUAUUAGACGAAUCAUCUGGAAAGUUGAAUCAAAGAAGGUAAUAAUCCUGUAGUUGAAAAUAUAUUCUCUCUUGAGUGGAUCCUGAGUACGACGGAGCACGUGAAAUUCCGUCGGAAUCUGGGAGGACCAUCUCCUAAGGCUAAAUACUCUCUAGUGACCGAUAGUGAACCAGUACCGUGAGGGAAAGGUGAAAAGUACCCCGGAAGGGGAGUGAAAGAGAACUUGAAACCGUGUGCUUACAAGUAGUCAGAGCCCGUUAAUGGGUGAUGGCGUGCCUUUUGUAGAAUGAACCGGCGAGUUACGAUCUGAUGCAAGGUUAAGCAGGAGAUGUGGAGCCGUAGCGAAAGCGAGUCUGAAUAGGGCGUUGAGUAUUUGGUCGUAGACCCGAAACCAGGUGAUCUACCCAUGGUCAGGUUGAAGUUCAGGUAACACUGAAUGGAGGACCGAACCGACUUACGUUGAAAAGUGAGCGGAUGAACUGUGGGUAGCGGAGAAAUUCCAAUCGAACUUGGAGAUAGCUGGUUCUCUCCGAAAUAGCUUUAGGGCUAGCCUCAAGUGAUGAUUAUUGGAGGUAGAGCACUGUUUGGACGAGGGGCCCCUCUCGGGUUACCGAAUUCAGACAAACUCCGAAUGCCAAUUAAUUUAACUUGGGAGUCAGAACAUGGGUGAUAAGGUCCGUGUUCGAAAGGGAAACAGCCCAGACCACCAGCUAAGGUCCCAAAAUAUAUGUUAAGUGGAAAAGGAUGUGGCGUUGCCCAGACAACUAGGAUGUUGGCUUAGAAGCAGCCAUCAUUUAAAGAGUGCGUAAUAGCUCACUAGUCGAGUGACACUGCGCCGAAAAUGUACCGGGGCUAAACAUAUUACCGAAGCUGUGGAUUGUCCGUAGGACAAUGGUAGGAGAGCGUUCUAAGGGCGUUGAAGCAUGAUCGCAAGGACAUGUGGAGCGCUUAGAAGUGAGAAUGCCGGUGUGAGUAGCGAAAGACGGGUGAGAAUCCCGUCCACCGAUUGACUAAGGUUUCCAGAGGAAGGCUCGUCCGCUCUGGGUUAGUCGGGUCCUAAGCUGAGGCCGACAGGCGUAGGCGAUGGAUAACAGGUUGAUAUUCCUGUACCACCUAGCAUCGUUUUAAUCGAUGGGGGGACGCAGUAGGAUAGGCGAAGCGUACGAUUGGAUUGUACGUCUAAGCAGUGAGAUUGAGUGUUAGGCAAAUCCGGCACUCUUAAGAUUGAGCUGUGAUGGGGAGAGGAAAUUGUUUCCUCGAGUCGUUGAUUUCACACUGCCGAGAAAAGCCUCUAGAUAGAUAAUAGGUGCCCGUACCGCAAACCGACACAGGUAGUCAAGAUGAGAAUUCUAAGGUGAGCGAGCGAACUCUCGUUAAGGAACUCGGCAAAAUGACCCCGUAACUUCGGGAGAAGGGGUGCUCUUUAGGGUGCAAGCCCAGAAGAGCCGCAGUGAAUAGGCCCAAGCGACUGUUUAUCAAAAACACAGGUCUCUGCUAAACCGUAAGGUGAUGUAUAGGGGCUGACGCCUGCCCGGUGCUGGAAGGUUAAGAGGAGU